rnacentral:lncRNA from 1 species
UGUGACUCUUUUAAAAUGUUGAUGAAUUCAAUUUGUGGUUUAAAUAUCUCGUCAGAACAAUUAGCUUGCUGAGAUGUUUCAUCUCACUCUUGCAUUACUCAAUGCAGGUGCUUGUUGCUCAUCAAGGGGAGUGGGAAGUAGCAGCACAUCCACCUUCAUUCUCAUAAUAAUGCUGCCCAGACGCAGCCAUGAUUUAAUUAGAAACUUCUUGUCAAAGGAUGUUUGUUUUUAACUAGUCGUGUGCACUGAUUAAUUCAGUUCAUGUUGUUAUGGUUGUCUUCCCAUUGCUAGCAGAUUAUUAAUGUCUUAUAUGUUUUCUUAUCAUGAUAUCUAUUUAUACUUUGUUGCUUCCCCCGUUUAUGCAAUUUUCAAAGGAGAUGCUGUCGAAAUUUUAUAUAUGAAUAUUAGAUGUGUAGUUUAGUAGCAUUCUGGGGUGUUUGUGGAUCCCGGGGUGUUACAGUUGGUAUCAGAACAUAGGCUUUAGAUUCUUGGCAAUUUGAAGAUAAAUUUGACACACUUGCACAUAUAGGAAGGGUAUGGGUUCAAAUAUCUUUGAUAUAUAUUAAUGUCUUUGGAGUGCAGAUGACAAUAGUUUCACCCCUCCCUAUUCCUUUACGGUGAUGUGGUAAGUUGUUUAUGGCUUAAUGCUUGAUAUAAUUUAUUUCUGAAAUUUUGAUAUUGUUUUAUUAAUGCGGUAGAUAUCGCUGGUCAUUGGUGAGAAUGAAGUUGUUAUUAUGCUUGUGAUAUACAAGUAUGCCUAUGUUGUUUUCACCAUGUUUUUCAUGGUUGAGUUUUAUUACAAUAAUAUUGUUAUAUAUGCUUGAUUGUGGAUGUUUCUAAGAGGAGUGUGAAUUGUGUGUUUUGGGGUACAAGGUAAUCAUCAAUUUGAAUUUAAGUUGUUGAGCGGUUGGUGGAUAGCUCCAACUAUCAUUGCAAAGAAUGAUUGUUUAUGUUGAGAAACCAGUUUUGAAAGAAAUGAAUAUUGGUACUUUAUAUGGAUUUUUGGGGGAAGUCUUUUCAUAGCCAGAAUGGCUUACAUGUCUCUCUCAUAUUGUGUGUUUUAGUUGCCACAAAGCCUAGAUGUGGUUUAAAGUGGUUGCCUGUUAGUCAUACUAAUUGUAGAAUAAAUCUUUGAUUCUCUUGAUCCAUUGAUUAUGUAUUGAUACAAUGAGGAUCUGAUGGUUCCCUUUUCGAUGCAUGCUUGUGGAGCCAUUUUUUUUAGACCACCUAUCUAUUGGUUUGAAGGAAGUCCUUGCCUAGCCUAGAGUUGGUUGGGUGUGGCUAGUCACCUAUUCCUAGAUCAUGUGGUGUUUACAUCAGCUUAAUAUGUUUGUCAAAUGUGUGAAGGAUUAGGGGUUAUUAUUAUUGACUUUGUAUGUCUGGUACUUUGAGUGCAUCGUAUGAUAGAAUGAAAUGUAAGUUUCUGAACUACAGUAGAUGAAGACUUAUAUUAUGUGUAGGUUAUCCUUACUAGUUGGAUAUUUUUCUUAGUUGAGAUGUUGAACGAAGUAUAGUGACAUGGGUUAAGCAAGUAUUGUGUUGUUGUUGGGCUAUCAAUGCUCUAUGUAGAGUUUUUGGCAUUUCUUCGAUGAACUAUGCCGCACAAGAUGUUAUUGGCUUCUUUUGGCUUUAUUGCUCCAUUAGUUCUAUAGAUUUUCUCCCUUUUGGUGGGGUGCAUGGAAUGUUAGAUUACAUGAUUAUCUUUUCAUGAUGGCAAGAAUAAGGUUUAGGAAGAUUAGGAGUUUUGUUCCAAUAGAACUACUUGUUUCAUAGUGCUUUAAGGUGAGGUGUUUGAUCUUCUUAUACAUUCGUCGGGUGUAGAUGUUUCACCAUUUAAUUAAAAUUAAUGGUUGAAGUUGGUAAGGGUUGUGCUUGGUGCAUAUUACCCCUUCAUAAAAGAGUGUUGUCUUAAGACAUUGAUGUUGAUGUAUAGCUGCAUCCAAAUUUGAUGGUGUGAAAUUGGAGUGUUGAUUGCAACUAUGACAUGCUUUGAGCUUCAUUACAUGUUGUUUCAUGCUUGAUGUUAGGUCGUGUAGUUUCCUUAGACAAUUAGUCCAAGGUAGAAGUUCUUGUGUUAAUUAAGACCAAUAAUGGACCCAUGUUUUGAAUUGUGGUGCUAUAUGGGGUACCUUGGGUGUUUUGCUUGGAGUGGCCGAAUUCGAGGUCGAAUUCUUUUUAAGGGGGGUAGAGUGUAAUAUCCCAAAAAAAAUGUUGACCAAAAGUUAAUCUCUGGUGCGUGGAUGAGGUAAAGGGUUGUGGGCCAUUGGAUGCAAAGAUAGAAGUCAUCUGAGGCGUCGUUUCUUUCUCCCACAAAAACCCUAGGUGGCCACCCCUUUUUUUCCCUUCACCCCCCCUCUUGGCCGCCACCCCCUUUUUCUCCCCCUUGGCUGGACGCCCCCUCCCCCUAUGGCAGCCAUCCUCCAUUGCUUCCUCCCCCAAGAUCUCCCCCUACGCAGCAAGGAUCGAGAAAAGGAGGGGCACAUUGAAUUGAAGAGGAAGAGAGGAUCAAGGAGAUGUUCUUCCCCAUCUCCUCUUGAAGAUUUCUUGGGGAAACCCUAGGUAUGGAUGAGAUCCUUGUUCCUCCAUGUAAUUAUAGGCUUUUGGAGGUUGUGGAUCAUGGGAAUUAAAGGAUUAGAGGUUGGAUUUGAUGUGGGGUUAGGUUUUGAUCUCGAAUUUAGUUUUCUGCAGAAUGGCAGAUUCGACAGUUUCUGUUCAUGCCAGUUUUCCGUGGUCUUAGUGGCCUCAAAAAAAUAAAAAGUCUAUGUAUGAAUCGUAGAUAAUUUGUAGAUCUUUCCGUGGCCGCGAAGAACACCUCAAUCGGACAUCCGACCAGAAAGUUAUUGCAGUUUUACUAUAGCAGUUUUUCAGUCUCAUAAUUCUGUGCAGAAUCUGUUCUCUUAAGAUUUAGGCAAUUUUAUCAACAGAAUUAAACUGUGGGUUGGUAAAAGAAGUUGUAGAUAAUUUUAUAAGCUUUCCAGAUUGUUAAAGAGUGCAUUCAUAUGAUUUGUGAAACUCCAGUUAUGUUUGUUUUACUGUGGCUGUUCCUGUUUACCUGACAAAAAUGAGUGGGUCUGUUCACUGGUGGGUUUCAUCUAGUAAAUGGCCGAAUUGGCUCUUCCAACUAUGGAGACUUUUGUAGAGGGAUAAAAGUUCUUACUUCCAGCAGAAUUUCAUAAUUUUUGGUUCAGCAGUUUUGGAGAUAUCGAAUUUUAAAGUUAACCAUACUGCUGUCUAAAACAGAUUCAGUCAGUUAUCUUGUCAGAUGUUUUAGAACUUGUAGAUGACAGAAUUUAAUUAUCUAUUGAAUACUGAAGUUGUAGAGUAUUUUGUGUAGAUACUCCUAGAGUAUUUGUUUGAUAUCACCGCUGUUUUAAUUUUAAAGAUACAAAAUUAACAAACAGCGUUGCUGCUGUAUGGCAUGUGGUUCAGGGUGGGAGUCUUUCCACUGGGUCUUGGUUUCAAGUGUAGGAGUGUUUUGUUGAUUGAUGGCAAAUGUUUGUGAAAUAUUUGUACUAAGUUUUAUGCCCACUAGCAGGUGGCUACACUCCAGAUCAUGUCUAGUACAUUUCUUCUUCUUCGAUGAAGGCAAGUGAAUGUAGCGGUGGUUGCUUCCGUUCUGACCUGUUAUUUCUAUCGCCUACACUCUAAUAUUCAGAAGUAUCAGAUUCUUUCAUAAUUGGACUCUAUGGUGAUGCUUUACUUGCUUGCAUUAUACUGAUGCUCAAUCAUAUAUUGAUGAUGAUUAUGAUUUGAGUAUGACUCAUGAGAUUAAUUCACACCCCUGAAGGUAAAUGAAGUAUUAUUUGAGGUUGGUAUUGUAUCUGAAGGUAAAUGAAGUAUUAUUUGAGGUUUGUGUUGUAUCUGAAGGAAGUGAAGUUUAUUGAUAAAUGUAGCAUGCCAUAUACAUUGCAUGACUCAUUUGCAUAUGAAGUUUUGUCGUGACCUAUGGUCCGACCGUACCGGUACAACUUAGCAUCGUACGUUGCCCGAGAAGGGGUACGAUGCGGCUUCAUACCCUUAGAGGUAUGAAGGCAGAGGACAUAUGCAUUGCAUUCAUAUGCAUUCAUUGAAGUGAUAUUUGCAGAUGAUGUGGUUUUAUACCCCCAGAGGUAUGAAGAUAGAGUACCUACACAUUGCAUUCCUAUGCAUACAUUGAAGUGAUAUUUGCAGGUAUUGUUGACGCAGGGAAGUGUUAUAGAACCUAUUGUGGUUGUUCGAGGAAAUGAGAUGGUAUUGGUUAUAGUGGGACUACUGAGUUCUAUAUCUACAAGCAUUUCUGAUUUUUAAUUGUGACUCUUUUAAAAUGUUGAUGAAUUCAAUUUGUGGUUUAAAUAUCUCGUCAGAACAAUUAGCUUGCUGAGAUGUUUCAUCUCACUCUUGCAUUACUCAAUGCAGGUGCUUGUUGCUCAUCAAGGGGAGUGGGAAGUAGCAGCACAUCCACCUUCAUUCUCAUAAUAAUGCUGCCCAGACGCAGCCAUGAUUUAAUUAGAAACUUCUUGUCAAAGGAUGUUUGUUUUUAACUAGUCGUGUGCACUGAUUAAUUCAGUUCAUGUUGUUAUGGUUGUCUUCCCAUUGCUAGCAGAUUAUUAAUGUCUUAUAUGUUUUCUUAUCAUGAUAUCUAUUUAUACUUUGUUGCUUCCCCCGUUUAUGCAAUUUUCAAAGGAGAUGC